AUUGAACGCUGGCGGCAGGCCUAACACAUGCAAGUCGAACGCGUGGCGGACGGGUUAGUAAUGUCUGGGAAACUGCCCGAUGGAGGGGGAUAACUACUGGAAACGGUAGCUAAUACCGCAUCCCAUCGGCUCUGCCCAGAUGGGAUUAGCUUGUCGGUGAGGUAACGGCUCACCUAGGCGACGAUCCCUAGCUGGUCUGAGAGGGUGAUCAGCAACACUGGAACUGAGAAACGGUCCAGAUUCCUACGGGAGGAAGCAGUGGGGAAUAUUGCACAAUGGGCGCAAGCCUGAUGCAGCCAUGCCGCGUGUAUGAAGAAGGCCUUCGGGUUGUAAAGUACUUUCAGCGGGGAGGCGUUACCCGCAGAAGAAGCACCGGCUAACUCCGUGCCAGCAGCCGCGGUAAUUC
rnacentral:rRNA from 1 species